rnacentral:rRNA from 1 species
AAGCAUGCAAGUCGAACGGCAAGAGGUAGCAAUACCUCCUAGGAGUGGCGGACUGGUGAGUAACACGUGGGUGACAUACCCUUCAGAUGGGGAUAGCUAUUAGAAAUAGUAGAUAAUACCGAAUACGAGCACAGGGGUUAGAGAUCUGUGAGGAAAGGAGCUAAGGCUCCGCUGAAGGAAUGGCCUGCGGCCCAUUAGCUAGUUGGUGAGGUAAGAGCCCACCAAGGCGAUGAUGGGUAUCCGGCCUUAGAGGGUGAACGGACACAUUGGGACUGAGAUACGGCCCAGACUCCUACGGGAGGCAGCAGCUAAGAAUAUUCCGCAAUGGACGAAAGUCUGACGGAGCGACGCCGCGUGGAUGAAGAAGGCCGGAAGGUUGUAAAAUCCUUUUGAAACUGAAGAAUAAGCGUUGUAGGGAAUGACAGCGUGGUGACAGUAGGUUUUGAAUAAGCAACGGCUAAUUACGUGCCAGCCGCCGC